UCCUGGACCCGUUUCAAACCUGACUUUGGUCCCAGAGAGUGACUACAUCAUCGCCACCUGGAACUUCCCAGCGGGCACCGUUCCCACUUUCAAGAUAACGCUCCAGCUGGAUGGUGAAGUUGUACAAACACACAAACAACAGGAAUCUGAGAAGACCUUCACUGGACUGAAGAAUGCAGCCAAUUACACAGUGACCGUCCGCAUCACCAGUGGAGAGCUGGAAAGCCCGGCAGUGAGCAAGUCCACUUACACCAAGCCGGCGUCGCCUAGAAAUCUCAGAGUCGCCUUCUCCAAUCAAAGUCAAAUCACCCUCAAAUGGGAUGCCCCCGACAACGCAGCAGCAGGAGUCAACUACUCCGUCAAGCUCAGCUCCCGCUUCUGGGGCCACUACUUUUCUGAAAAUGUGAAGAAUUUAAACCACACGUUUGAUGCGUUAAAAUCUGGGAGCAGGUACGAAGCUGAGGUGCAAACAGUGGUGGGCAACACGUCAAGUUCUGCGGAAAAGGCUGUGUCCAUACACAGAUGCAAAUAA
rnacentral:lncRNA from 1 species